AUUGAACGCUAGCGGGAUGCUUUACACAUGCAAGUCGAACGAGUGGCGGACGGGUGAGUAAUAUAUCGGAACGUGCCCAGUAGCGGGGGAUAACUACGCGAAAGAGUGGCUAAUACCGCAAACUAUAGGAGCGGGCGAUAUCGGAUUAGCUAGUUGGUGGGGUAAAGGCGCACCAAGGCAACGAUCCGUAGUUGGUUUGAGAGGACGACCAGCCACACUGGGACUAAGACACGGCCCAGACUCCUACGGGAGGCAGCAGUGGGGAAUGUUGGACAAUGGGCGAAACCCUGAUCCAGCCAUCCCGCGUGUAUGAGAAGGCCUUCGGGUUGUAAAGUACUUUUGGCAGAGAAGCGGUAUCUGCAGAAUAAGCACCGGCUAACUACGUGCCAGCAGCCGCGGUAAUAC
rnacentral:rRNA from 1 species